rnacentral:misc_RNA from 1 species
GAUGAAGAACGUAGCGAAAUGCGAUAAGUAAUGUGAAUUGCAGAAUUCAGUGAAUCAUCGAAUCUUUGAACGAACAUUGCGCCCGCCAGUAUUCUGGCGGGCAUGCCUGUUCGAGCGUCAUUUCAACCAUCAAGCCCCCGGCUUGUGUUGGGGACCUGCGGCUGCCGCAGGCCCUGAAAAGCAGUGGCGGGCUCGCUGUCACACCGAGCGUAGUAGCAUACAUCUCGCUCUGGGCGUGCUGCGGGUUCCGGCCGUUAAACCACCUUCAUAACCCAAGGUUGACCUCGGAUCAGGUAGGAAGACCCGCUGAACUUAAGCAUAUCAAUAAGCGGAGGA